rnacentral:snRNA from 1 species
GGAUGCGAGGGUGAUCUGGCUGUGACAUCUGUCACCCCGUUGAUCACCAGGGUUGAUUUGGCUGAUCUGGCUGGCUAGGUGGGUGUUCCCUUCCUCCCUCACUGCUCCAUGUGUGUCCCCCCUACCCGAAACCACGUGCUCUCCGAGGAGGACAACCUUCCCUGAUAGAGGACUGGUCUUCGGUCAAGGGUAUACGAGCAGCUGCGCUCCCCUGCUUGAACCUCCAAACAAGCUCUCAAGAAAAUCAGUCAGGAGCUGGAGAGAUGGCUUAGCAGUUAAGCGCUU